GACGAACGCUGGCGGCGUGCUUAACACAUGCAAGUCGAACGGAAAGGCCCUGCUUUUGUGGGGUGCUCGAGUGGCGAACGGGUGAGUAACACGUGAGUAACCUGCCCUUGACUUUGGGAUAACUUCAGGAAACUGGGGCUAAUACCGGAUAGGAGCUCCUGCUGCAUGGUGGGGGUUGGAAAGUUUCGGCGGUUGGGGAUGGACUCGCGGCUUAUCAGCUUGUUGGUGGGGUAGUGGCUUACCAAGGCUUUGACGGGUAGCCGGCCUGAGAGGGUGACCGGCCACAUUGGGACUAAGAUACGGCCCGGACUCCAACGGGAGGCAGCAGUGGGGAAUAUUGCACAAUGGGCGGAAGCCUGAUGAAGCAACGCCGCGUGCGGGAUGACGGCCUUCGGGUUGUAAACCGCUUUCGCCUGUGACGAAGCGUGAGUGACGGUAAUGGGUAAAGAAGCACCGGCUAACUACGUG
rnacentral:rRNA from 1 species